UAACACUUUUAGAAGCUCUCAAACAAAAAAAAUUCUUUUAAUAGUAUGAUAAAAAAAAAUGGUUAUUUUUUAUUGUCUGAAUUAUUAUAUGUUUAAAUGGUGAAAGUUUCACCAUUCUACCUAAAAAGGUAUUUACAUUCUUUCCUAACUCACUCUUAUUCUUUACUACUCAAAUCAAAAGCGGUCCAAUGUAACAACACUAAAAAUCUAUUUACACAGAAACUGCAUCAAUACAAUAUCCUGAAUAUAGCUCUCUACUCUAAAUAUAAAAAGCUGAUGAUAUAUAUGACAGUUUUCUGUUCUACCAUAUCAUUUCCAUGGAAGCAGCUCAUCCCAUCUAGGAGCUUUCUGCACCAGAAUGUCAACAUGUGCAUUUUCAUGCUUCACAUCCACAUACCCUUCACUUUUUUG
rnacentral:lncRNA from 1 species